CAUGGUCUAGCCAGUCUCAUCAGCAAAACGAAUUUUAGUUUGACCCCCCGAAACUGAGUGAGCUACUUCGAAACAGCCAAGAGCUAACCCGUCUCUGUUGCAGAAGAGUGGGAUGAUUUCCAAGUAGAAGUGACAAACUUACCGCACUUAAAGAUAGCUGGUUAUUCGAGAAAAGAAUAUAAGUUCAACCUUAAGUUUAUAAACUUAAGAGUUACUCGAAUAAGGCACAGCUUAUUCGAAAUAGGAUACAACCUACGACAUAGGGUAACAUCAAGUGGGCCUAAGAGCAGCCACCUUUAAAAAGCGUUAAAGCUUAAUACCUCCACAAACCUCCAACCCAUAAAUAAUAUCGAAUAACUCCAUAAAGUAUGGAAGAUAUAAUGCUAGAACUAGUAAUAAGAACUUUCUCCAAAAUGUAAGCUUAAGCCACACUAGACUAACUACCGGCGAUUAACGCACAUGAACCUAUCAUAAUAACUAGAAAAUACUAUGCACUUCACGUCAACCUUACACUAGAACACUUAUGGAAAGAUUAAAAGAGAGAGAAGGAACUCGGCAAACUACGGCCCCGCCUGUUUAU
rnacentral:rRNA from 1 species